rnacentral:rRNA from 1 species
AGAGUUUGAUCCUGGGCUCAGAUUGAAACGCUGGGCGGCAUGCUUUACAACAUGGCAAGUCGAACGGCAGCACGGGGGCAACCCUUGGGUGGCGAGUGGCGAACGGGGUGAGGAAUAAACACGGGAACCGUAUCCCUUGAGUUGGGGAUAACGAGGCGAAAGUUGUGCUAAUACCCGCAUGAGCUCUGAGGAGGAAAGUGGGGGACCGUAAGGCUCUCACGCUGAAGGGGCGGCCGAUGUCCGAUUAGCUAGUUGGUGAGGUAAAGGUACACCCAAGGCUUCGAUCGGUAGCUGGUUUGAGAGGAUGUCUCACCCCCACGGGGAUUGAGACACGCCCCGGACCCUUACGGGAGGCGGCGGUGGGAAAUUUUGGACGAUGGGGGCGACUCCUGUCCCACCCUGCCGCGUGAGUGAAGAAGCCCCUUCGGGUUGUAAGCUCUUCGUGAGGAGAACGGCCUAGUAAUAGCUGUGUUACUACGUACCCGAAGAAGCCCGGCUAACUACGUGCCGCCGCCGCGU